UACGUAGGGGGCGAGCGUUGUCCGGAUUCAUUGGGCGUAAAGAGCUCGUAGGCGGUUUGGCAAGUCGGGUGUGAAAUCUCCGGGCUCAACUCGGAGAGGCCACUCGAGACUGCUAUGACUAGAGUCCGGUAGGGGACCAUGGAAUUCCUGGUGUAGCGGUGAAAUGCGUAGAUAUCUGGAGGAACACCGGUGGCGAAGGCGGCAUCCUGGACCGACACUGACGCUGAGGAGCGAAAGCCAGGGGAGCAAACGGG
rnacentral:rRNA from 1 species